GGUUGCGGGCUGGGCCCUGCACCUUGUCCCUGCCUGUGACCAGGCCGAAGCCAGCAAGCAGCCUUUCCCCCAAGCCAUUUCGGGGGACAGCUGGUGGCAGGAAGGGUCUGAGGAGUCUGGCGAGAGGGGUGCUGGUUUGUGGUGGUUGUGGACUAGCUGGCUAUGGAGGCUCGCUUAAUGAGGAGCUGCGAGGCCCCCUGCUACUUGCAGUGGGAUGAAGAGCUGAUCAGCCUAACCCGCAGGUGCAUUUCAGAUAAGCCAGCAGACAUGGGUCUUAAGAAUGUAGCUCCUAGACAGCAGCAGGCUGAGCAGAAAUACAGGUCACCUGGUCCUAGGAUUCCCAACUGUGCCUUGAGCACUGCAUGGCAAAAAAAUGAAAGAGCUAAGGUAGGGUAUCAUUGAGUAGAGGGCCUUCCUCCACAUAGCCCAGGUCAUUUCUGUGAGAGGCAUUUGCUGUGCUCUGCUCUGAUCCUUUCCCCAGUUCUGCAAUCUCCCUGAGAAGUAGCAGAAUAAUCCAUGAGGGGGUGGGGUCCCCAGAAAGGGCUUGAGAGCAACCCACGAAGUAAGGGUGUCUGGUCCAUUUCCAGGAAGCCACAGAGAAGUCCUUCCAUCACUAACAGCUCAAUGCUUCUAAUUUUCAAAUCAUCCUCUGGUGGACCUCCGUCCUUAAUUCCGUUUCACAGCAAGUGAAAGUCACAGAGUCCAGGGGCCAGGAGGACUUAUUACAGUUUAGCAAGCCUCAUAUUGUUGAAGCCAUUUUGGUGAGUGAAAUGCAGCAGAGAAUGGAAGAGAAUGACCAAGCGCAGGCUCAGUCCAAACCUGACUGCCAAGACUGUGUGUUUGGGGCAUCAUCUUAAUUGUUUGUUUGUUUGUUCUAUUUAUUAUUUCUCUAUAUAAGCAACUUUGGAAACUUUUGUUGAAAGACAGUGUGAAAAUAUUGUUGUUGUUGUAACCAUAGUUUUCGAGUGGUCUUCUGUGCAUUCACACUCCCUCCCUACCUCCCCACAGCAGCUGGUCUCUUUUGUUGAGCGGCGGUCUCCUUGACUGAGGUAGUGUGGGGUUCAACCUACCGAGGGAGUGGGUCUUCCUGCUCUUUUUUCCUUUUUGGGGGGUGAAGCUUUGGAAGGUUCCAGAACGUGGCUCUGCGCAGGCGCAUAACCCAAGUGUGAACGCACAGAAGACCACUUGAAGAACUACGGUUACAGGUAGGAAACCUGGCCUUUCCUUGAUGCCCCUUUUCAUUCCUCAUUUCAUUCCGCAUUUCAUUCCAGCCCCUUUUCAUUCCUCAUUUGUGUGUUUGUGCGUGUGUGCAUUUCUUUUAGGUGGCAAAUCUGAGCUGAGUAAGGUAAGCAGUGGCAGAGGUGCUUUUACUCCUGGAUUUGGGGGAUGCAGCCCCUGGAGUCCAUACUCCUUGGGGGCUCCCAAAUAAUCUUUAGUCAGUCCUGGGUGGUGUGGUUUGUGCCCUCAAGAAUGUAUGUGUUAAAAAAUGUUUAAUUUGCCAUGUGGGGUGUGGGCUCCAAAGUCCUUUAGGUCCAGGCUUCAAAAUUACUUAGGUGCACCUCUGAGCAGAGGUGAUCUUGCCAGCAGCUCUUUCUCUUGGGGGGUUGUAAUUUUUAUCCCCCAAUUAAUUAGCAGAGCACUAAAGAAGCUACCCAUUCCAGUUACAGAGUAGUUGCAGAGUUUAGUUGUUGCAGCUAUUUAGAGAAGACACGUGGAGAUUCUUGUAGAAUAAAUACAAAGUAUUUAUUGGUGAAGUAUACUUUGGUUAGGAAAGACCUAACCCUAAUUUAUAAAAGAACAUAAUGAAUAGGUGGGGGAGAGAGAGAGAUGUUUCCAUCUGCUCUCUUAGAGGAAAGGAAGGGAUUCUUUCUGACUCUCAACAGGAAAUACCUGAAGAGUCCUAUCAGGGGUUAUAGAGUAGAGACCGAUAGAACAGUUAGGGAGACCCUUACUCACUAUCUCUACCCCCAAUGCCCCUAGUGGUCAUAAGGCUAGUUGGUGCAAAAAGUUGAUGCACUGGUAGUCCAUCUCCAACACUUUCCCGGGCUAUGCAAUGUAGUCCUCUACAUUCCUCAUUUGUGUGUUUGUUUGUUUUAGUUGGCAAAUCUCAGCUGCGUAAGGUAAGCAGAGGCAAUUUUGCCAUCCUGUCUUUCUAGUGCUAAUCAGUGUGUUCCUUUACAUUCCUUGUGUGUGUGUUUGUGUGUGUUUGUUUUUAGGUGGAGAAUCCCAGCUGGUUAAGGUAAGCCGAGGCAAUUGCCAUCAGGUCUUAGCAGUGCUAUGCAAUGUGUUCCUGUUCAUUCCUUGUUGUUGUUUUGUGUUGUGUGUGUUUCUUUUAGGUGGCAAAUCCGAGCUGGGUAAGGUAAGCAGAGGCAAUUGCCAUCAGGUCUUGCCUGUGCUAUGCAGUGUGUUCCUUUUCAUUGGGGGUGUUGUUGGGCCUCGUGGGGUGCAAGGUCUCCAUCUUAUUGAUUCUACCCCUGUUUAGGGGUGCCAGUCGGUCUGGCCUCAUAACUCCUGAGGUCUUGGCAAUGUCCUAGGCUAAUGCCUCCACAGGCGUUCCUUUGCCUCUGUCACCUGCUGGAGACUUGACUUCCCAGAGCUGUCUGCCUCUUGACAGCUCUCAGCUGUCUGCCCCUCAUCACAGGCCAGGCCAUUUUAUAAAACCCUGAAAUCUCACAGCAACUCUCAUGAGACCUGGCGAUCUCACUAUUGAUCACACGAGAGUUUGGAGUGUGAUCUUGCAAUAUGCUAACAACGUCCCAUGAGACCACAUCAGUGUCGGGUGACACUAGGUCACCCGACCACGGGAGCCAGUAGGGCCUGCCGAUCUCAGCAGGUGGGGGUUGGGACACGUCUGAGGGCGCAGCAUUCCUGCCCUGGUUGGGAUCGUUCCCACCGUAACCCUCUGCACAUGGGAGGUGAGGCCUAGAGAUGUUGGGACCCUGACAGGUGUGUACGAAUGGUUCAAUAGCAAACUGGUCUGCUGCGAACCAGGCUGGUUCGAUGGUUUGAUCGUGAACCAGACAGGCCUUCAGGAAAGGUGGUCCAGUCCAAGAUCAAGCCAAAUCAGCCCUGACCAGGAGGACAUGGCUCCCAUUUGGCCGUCCUCUGUGAGAAGUGGCUACAUGCAUGGGAUGGCCAAUGGGGUCAGUGUGGUGAUGCCGCUACUUAUGCGCCACACAUGCUUCCUUCCUCCAACUUUGCAGGCUUUGCGGCUCCCGCCCACCCUCCCUAGUUCAGUGAGAGAUUAGCUGGUCGCUUAUGGGCCGAGUAGGAAUUUUUGGUCUUCACCUGAUUGGCUUUGUGUGGAGAUUUUUUCGCCUACUCCUCACUGACUGUGUUUUAAAGGGAAUAACCCCCCUUUUAGGGGUGGGAGUCUGGUUGCAGGUUAAGUGGUCACUUUGGCAGGUGAGUGUGGGCUUUGGAGGUUAAGACCUCGAUUGGUGCUCAGCCAUAGGUACCUUUCAGGUAGAGAUGGUUUCAUGUAACAAUCUUUCAGGGUUUUGUGGCCCAGGGGUGUCUGAGGUGGCCAGAGCCUAAGGGGUAUACUCAUUGGUCAAAUGGGCCGUAAGCCAGAAUUUGGCUUUUAAAAAGCCAAAUCUUGUCACCUAGCGAAUGAACCACUUUUAGGGCACUGUUUAGCUGAUCCACUCAGAGCUUCGGGGCUGGAGGGGUAGUGACCAGUGUUUCCUCUAACAGGGAUUCCCAGAUGUUGACUACAACUCCCAGAAUCCCAAGCUACAAUGGAUUUUGCCUGGGGAUUAUAGGAGUUGUAGUCCACAACAUCUGGGGAUCCAUGUUGGAGGGAACAGUGGUGGUGACCCUGGUGGCUACCUCCUUGACACAGUAAACUGUGUGGCUUGGUGGGGCUAUGCUGAGGUUUCAUAUGGCAUCUGCCAAGCCUGGCUGCUUUGCCCAACAGUGAGAGGAGCUCAACCCUCGCUAGGAGGCUGUGCCUACCCAAAAAGGGGAUUGGAGUUGCCCACACUCUAGUUUAGGGAGGUUAUAGUUAUAUCUGUUGCAGAUCUCUGCAUAGUUUAUAGUUAAUAAAGUGGCCCUAGUUUUCAUCCAUA